rnacentral:rRNA from 1 species
UACGUAGGGUCCGAGCGUUGUCCGGAAUUAUUGGGCGUAAAGGCUCGUAGGCGGUCUGUCGCGUCGGGAGUGAAAACUUACAGCUUAACUGUGAGCGUGCUUCCGAUACGGGCAGACUUGAGGUAUUCAGGGGAGAACGGAAUUCCUGGUGUAGCGGUGAAAUGCGCAGAUAUCAGGAGGAACACCGGUGGCGAAGGCGGUUCUCUGGGAAUAUCCUGACGCUGAGGAGCGAAAAGUGUGGGGGAGCGAACAGG